GCAAGUGCGAUCAAGUGCGUUCCUGCCCGUGAGCAAUCUCGCAACUUAUCACAACUUAUCUCUGUGAACACCUAUACUGUAUCAAGUCAUGUUUAUUUUUUUUUAUGGCGUUAGUUUAUUCAGUACUUUAGCACGCAUUUGCGGCUUGUUAAUAAAUAAAUAAUAUUUGAAAUGGAUGAUGUUUGAGCAGAUCAAACACUCAACAUGUAUCUAGUCAUGAUAGUAUUGUCAAUGUUAAUUUAUAUUCAAGCAUUUGAGGUACCUGAUGUAUCAUCAAAAACAGGACAUUCUAACAAUUGGGCAGUUUUAGUUGAUACCUCCCGCUUCUGGUUUAAUUAUCGACAUGUAGCAAAUGUGUUGUCGAUGUAUCGUAGUGUUAAGCGACUAGGGAUUCCUGAUUCCCAGAUUAUACUGAUGAUCGCUGACGAUAUGGCUUGUAAUCCGAGAAAUCCUAGACCAGCCACUGUAUUUAAUAAUGCAAAACAGCAUAUUAAUGUUUACGGUGAUGACGUAGAAGUUGAUUAUAGAGGUUAUGAGGUAACCGUUGAGAAUUUUGUGAGAUUAUUAACUGGAAGGUUACCCCCAGAAACACCGAGAUCUAAAAAAUUGCUAACCGACGAGGGUUCAAAUAUUCUGAUUUAUUUAACUGGCCAUGGAGGCAAUGGUUUUUUGAAAUUUCAAGACUCUGAAGAAAUCACUAGUCAAGAACUAAGCGAUGCUCUAGAACAAAUGUGGCAGAAAAGGAGAUAUCAUGAAAUUCUUUUUAUCGUCGAUACUUGUCAAGCAAGCUCCAUGUAUGAGAAGUUUUAUUCCCCAAAUAUUUUAGCUGUCGCUUCUAGCUUGGUUGGCGAAGAUUCUCUUUCGCAUCACGUGGACCAGGCUAUUGGGGUCUACAUCAUAGAUAGAUAUACGUAUUAUGCAUUGGACUUUUUGGAAAGAGUAGAACCUUCGAGUACAAGCACACUUGGUGAAUUUCUGCAGAUAUGUCCUAAACGUAACUGCUUAUCCACUGUCGGUGUGCGAACGGAUCUGUUCAUGAGGGAUCCAAACACGGUACCAGUGACUGAUUUCUUUGGUUCCGUAAGACCAAUCGAAUUAACGACUGCCAGUAUCAACGUUUUAUCAGUGAAAAGAAAUAAAACCUUGAUACCAAAAUCAGAAGAAAGACACAGCUAUGCCCCACAGUUUCCUGAUAUGUCUAAAUUUUUGUACAAUCAAUCGUUUGGAAAGUCGGAAUGCGUCUUGCUAAACUGAAUGGCCUUAACCCCUUUCGUGAUCAGCAUCACAUGAGAUCAGCUCAGCUGCGUAUCUUCCUUACUAGCAUCUGCUAUAAUAUAUCACAGUUGCCCGAGUAAUUACUACAUCUGGAAUUGGGUCUGGGUCGCCUUGCGUCGAUCCCGAAAGAGCGACAUCGACGAAUCAGAGGGCAAGAGAUAGAAGUUCCGUACUUUUUUCGCAACUUCGUGUAGCAUGACAUGCCCUGCGUGUGCAUGGUCAGGAUUUCCCGGAAGUGAAGAUUUCCCACAUGCGUCAGCAUUGCCGAAUUUUUCUAAGCGACCUUCCGACAGACACGAUACAGACACGGACGGAAUUAUCAUCUCUUCAGCCGUGUGGGAAAAAUCUGCCUGCGUCACUUUAUCUCCUUUAAAUGGUAAACACUUAGCGAUGGUUAACGGUCAAGUUUAAUGUGGGUUUCUACGUAGCAAUCUGCGAAUGGUGCCAACAAAAAUAUCUCGGAUGCUGAGCUUGUAUAUAAAGAACGAGCUCCAUGGCGAAUGUCAGUACGAGACGUGAGUUCUUAGAUCAUUGAUCUUGACCAGUGCCCUCCAUUCAUUGCUCGAUCCAUUCAGUCCAUCGCAGAGGACGGUACGAAGCUCGAGGAAGG
rnacentral:misc_RNA from 1 species